CACAACCCAAGAGGAUCAGGAGUGUGGCCUGGGAUCUCUGGGGUUUCUUCAGCUGGCAUCACUGACAUGAAUGCAGAGAUUCUCUGUGCAAUCAGGCUGGGCCGGAACGUGCAUCGGCGAGGUCCGCGUCAGGCCAGCUCGGCUCCAUGAGGUGCAGUUAUGGUUGGAGGUGGCAAGCGGCACUUCUGGCUCAGUUUAAUGGGAACCCCAGGACUGAAGAUGAGGUGGUUAGAUAGCAUCUCCAACUCAAUGGACAUGAAUUAGAGCAAACUCCAGGAGAUAGUGGAGGACAGAGGAGCCUGGUGUGCUGCUGUCUGCGGGGUCAUGGAGAGUCGGGCAUGACUUAGAAACUAAACAGCAACAAGAUUGAAGUCUCAGAAUGGAAAUAACAUAUGACCGGGUGAUGCUUAUAUUCACGGUAGUUCAAAAGCACCGACUGCCAAGUGGAAAUGGAAUGUGGACGAUUAUGAGCAGAAUUGAGUUACUCCUUCAAUUAAGACUCACUUCAUCUGGGGAAAUCUGGUUACGCUUCCACUCACCCUGCCUCAGAGGUCAGCCUGUGAGCCCCUGAGUCAGGAA